CCUACGGGGUGCAGCAGUGGGGAAUAUUGCACAAUGGGGGAAACCCUGAUGCAGCGACGCCGCGUGAGUGAAGACGUAUCUCGGUACGUAAAGCUCUAUCAGCAGGGAAGAAAAUGACGGUACCUGACUAAGAAGCCCCGGCUAACUACGUGCCAGCAGCCGCGGUAAUACGUAGGGGGCAGGCGUUAUCCGGAUUUACUGGGUGUAAAGGGAGCGUAGACGGUAGCACAGGUCUGGAGUGAAAUGCCGGGGCUUAACCCCGGAACUGCGUUGGAAACUGUGCGGCUGGAGUGCAGGAGGGGUAAGCGGAAUGCCUGGUGUAGCGGUGAAAUGCGUAGAUUUUAGGAAGAACACCGAUUGCGAAGGCAGUUUACUGGACUGUAACUGACGUUGAGGCUCGAAAGCGUGGGGAGCAAACAGGAUUAGAUACCCUUGUAGUC
rnacentral:rRNA from 1 species